rnacentral:rRNA from 1 species
GACGAACGCUGGCGGCGUGCUUAACACAUGCAAGUCGAACGGAAAGGCCUCUUUCGGGGGGUACUCGAGUGGCGAACGGGUGAGUAACACGUGAGUAACCUGCCCUUGACUUUGGGAUAACUUCAGGAAACUGGGGCUAAUACCGGAUAGGAGCUCCUGCUGCAUGGUGGGGGUUGGAAAGUUUCGGCGGUUGGGGAUGGACUCGCGGCUUAUCAGCUUGUUGGUGGGGGAGUGGCUUACCAAGGCUUUGACGGGUAGCCGGCCUGAGAGGGUGACCGGCCACAAUGGGACUGAGAUACGGCCCAGACUCCUACGGGGGGCAGCAGUGGGGAAUAUUGCACAAUGGGUGGAAGCCUGAUGCAGCAACGCCGUGUGCGGGAUGACGGCCUUCGGGUUGGAAACCGCCUUCGCUCAUGACGAAGCUUUGUGUGACGGUAGUGGGUAAAGAAGCACCGGCUAACUACGUG